ncrna:Homo sapiens (human) microRNA hsa-mir-1297 precursor
UGUUUAUCUCUAGGGUUGAUCUAUUAGAAUUACUUAUCUGAGCCAAAGUAAUUCAAGUAAUUCAGGUGUAGUGAAAC